UUUAUUUGAAGAGUUUGAUCAUGGCUCAGAUUGAACGCUGGCGGCAAGCCUCAUACAUGCAAGUCGAACGAGA
rnacentral:rRNA from 1 species